GACAGAGGUGCCAAGCGUUAGGCGGAAUCACUGGGCUUAAAGCGUGUGUAGGCGGAAUCGUAAGUACCUUGUGAAAUCCCACGGCUCAACCGUGGAACUGCUUGGUAUACUGCGUUUCUUGGGCCAAUUAGGGGCAGCCGGAACAAAUGGUGGAGCGGUGAAAUGCGUAGAUAUCGUCUGGAACGCCGAAGGUGAAAACAGCUCGCUGGGGUUGUGCUGACGCUGAGACACGAAAGCCAGGGGAGCGAACGGG
rnacentral:rRNA from 1 species